AUUGAACGCUGGCGGCAGGCCUAACACAUGCAAGUCGAGCGGAUGAAGGGAGCUUGCUCCUGGAUUCAGCGGCGGACGGGUGAGUAAUGCCUAGGAAUCUGCCUGGUAGUGGGGGAUAACGUCCGGAAGCGGGCGCUAAUACCGCAUACGUCCUGAGGGAGAAAGUGGGGGAUCUUCGGACCUCACGCUAUCAGAUGAGCCUAGGUCGGAUUAGCUAGUUGGUGGGGUAAAGGCCUACCAAGGCGACGAUCCGUAACUGGUCUGAGAGGAUGAUCAGUCACACGGGAAGUGAGACACGGUCCAGACGACUACGAGAGGGAGCAGUCGGGAAUGUUGGACAGUGGGCGAAAGCCUGAUCCAGCCAUGCCGCGUGUGUGAAGAAGGUCUUCGGAUUGUAAAGCACUUUAAGUUGGGAGGAAGGGCAGUAAGUUAAUACCUUGCUGUUUUGACGGUACCAACAGAAUAAGCACCGGCUAACUUCGUG
rnacentral:rRNA from 1 species